UGUGGACUUGCCUCAGGUCUUCAGCUCUUCACCGUUUCCUCUCUCCUUCCAUCUGUCUGGAAUUUUUUCUCUCGAUUCCUUUUCUUCCCUUUUCCACCGUCCCACGGUUGCGUUCUCAAUUCCCUACCUAAAUAUCUCCAAAAUCACAGCUUUGCCAAUCAUCCUCUGCUGCCACUCUCUCUAUUUCACAUUUACGAUUCUUUAUUUUAUUCGAAAUUUUCACCUUUGAUCGAUUUUGUCUUAGGGUCCAUUCUCAUUCUUUGUUUGGUUGCUAAGAAACCAGAGGGAACAAGCAAAAUUAAGCAAUUUUUUUUUAUUGAGAACGAUUUUGUACAGAAUGGCUUCCUCUUCUUCUGCAGCUCCUGAAUGGAAAUAUGAUGUGUUCAUUAGCUUCAGGGGUAGAGAUACCCGUGAUAAUUUUACCCAUUUUCUUUAUGAAGCAUUAUAUAAGAAGGGAAUUGAGACUUUCAUAGAUAAUAAGCUGAAUAGAGGAGAGGAGAUCUCCCCAGAGCUAUUGAGAGCGAUUGAAGAAUCGAUGGUUGCUGUAAUUAUUUUCUCACAGAACUACGCGGAUUCACCAUGGUGCUUGGAGGAGCUCGUGCAUAUCAUGGAAUGCAAGAAGGCCCAUGGGCAGAGUGUUCUACCGGUUUUUUACCGCGUAGAUCCUUCCGAUGUGGAGAACCAAAUUGGGGAUUUUGGGAAGGGAUUUGAUAGAGCUAAAGAACAAUCACAAGCUAAUGGAGAUAUGCGCAUUGUGAAGAAGUGGAGAGCUGCUUUGAGGGACGCAGCGAAUCUAUCAGGGUAUGAUUCAGCUGUUUCCAGACCUGACUCCACCCUCAUCAAUGAAAUUGUAAAUCAUGUAUUGAAGAAGUUGAAUCAAACAUCAUCAAAUGAUACUGAGGGACUGAUCGGAAUAGAAUCCUCCUUGGAACAAGUGGAAAACUUAUUAAAUAUUGAAUUUCCUGAUGUUCGCAUUAUAGGAAUUUGGGGCAUGGGUGGUAUAGGCAAAACGACCAUUGCUGGUGUUAUCUUUAACCGCAUAUCUGCUCUAUUUGAUAGUUGCUGCUUCCUUGCAAAUGUUAGAGAAGAAUCAGAGAAAAUGGGACUCCCUCGUUUACAACAAGAACUUUUCUCAAUGUUGUUAGAGGAUGACAAUCUAAACAUGCAUAUGCUUAGCACAGAACCUGCUUCUAUAAAAACUAGGCUCAACAGGAAGAAGGUUUUUAUUGUUCUUGAUGACGUCAAUAGUUCAAGACAGCUAGAACUUUUAGCAGGGGUUCAUUGGUUUGGUCGUGGGAGUAGAAUCAUUGUAACAACUAGAGAAAGACAAUUGCUAGUUAGCCAUGGAGUGAAUUUUAUAUAUGAGGUCAGGGAUCUAAAUGAGGACCAUGGACUUGAGCUCUUUAGUCGGUAUGCCUUUAGGCAGAAACAUCGCACAGAAGAAUUUACGGAGCUUUCGAUGCGUGCUAUUGAUUAUUGCAAAGGGCUACCAUUAGCGCUUAAAGUUUUGGGUUCUUCACUAUAUGGUAGGAGUGAGAGAGAAUGGAAUGCUUCCUUAAAUAGACUGGAGAAACAUUUUAACAAAGAUAUUCAGCAAACCCUUAGAAUAAGCUUUGAUGCACUUGAUGACUUAAACAAGUCAUUAUUUCUUGAUAUUGCAUGUUAUUUCAGAGGGCAUGACAAAGAUUAUGUAACAAAAAUUCUAACGAGCUUUGGGUUCCAUCCUGACAGUGGAAUAGGAGAACUUAUUGAUAAUUCUCUUGUAACGGUAUUUGACAACACAUUGGGAAUGCACGACUUACUACAGGACAUGGGUCGGGAGAUUGUGCGCCAACAAUCCCUUAAAGAUCCUGGCAAACGUAGUCGGCUGUGGGACCAUGAAGAUGUUGUGCAAGUGUUGAUGCAAGAGUCGGGGACAAAACAUGUUGAAUGCAUAGUCAUAGACUUGUCUAAAACAGACGAGAGGCAUUUCAGUGCUGAUGCAUUUAUGAAGAUGAAAAAUCUACGAUUGAUUGAUGUCCAUGGUGCCUUUGGAGACCGCAAGGUGCACCUUUCUGGAAACUUCGAAUUUUUAUAUCAUGAAUUAAAAUGUCUCUGUUGGGAAGGGUACCCCCUGAAAUAUUUGCCAUCAAACUUUAAUCCAAAGAAGAUCAUUAUGAUUGAAAUGCCUCGGAGCUCCAUUAAACAACUCUGGAAAGGAGUCCUGCGUCUCGACAAGUUGCAAUUUAUAGAUCUCAGUCAUUCCCAAAGUCUAACUGAGACACCAGACUUCACGGGAGUCCCAAAUCUUGAGAAAUUGAUUCUUGAAGGUUGUACAAGCCUCUCUAAGGUUCACCCAUCUCUUGGAGUACUCAAAAAGCUUGCUUUGUUGAAUUUGAAGGACUGCCGCUGCCUUUGGAGCCUUCCAACAGGCAUUGAAUUGGAAAAUCUCAAUACUCUUAUUCUUUCUGGCUGCUCUAAACUUGGAAGGUUUCCAGAAAUUGUGGGAAAUAUGGAACACUUAUCCAAAGUUUCCUUAGAUGGGAUUGCCAUAUCUGAACUGCCUCUUUCAAUUAAAAAUCUCACUGGGCUAGUUUUCUUGAGUAUGAGAAACUGUAAGAACUUUGGGAGUCUUCCAAGCAACAUUAAUCUUUUGAAAUCACUGAAAAAUCUUGAUCUUUUUGGUUGCUCAAAGCUUGAUAGUUUACCUGAGAGCUUGGGGUAUCUAAAACGUUUGGAGAAGCUGGAUGUAGGCGAAACUGCUGUAACAGAACCACCAUCCUCCAUUAGACUAUUGGAAAAUCUAAAAGUGUUAUCUUUUCGUGGAAGUAAACCGAUAGCAUUUCAUUGGCUCUACAAUUGGAUGCCCACAUUUAGAAAAACACAUGAUUAUGUGGGUCUAUCAUUGCCUUCUUUAAAAGGUUUACAUUCUCUAACAGAACUAGACCUCAGUGACUGCAACCUUUCAGAGGAAAUGAUACCUGGAGACUUUUAUUGUCUAUCCUCACUGCAGGUAUUAAAUAUAAGCAGAAAUAAUUUUGUAAAUACACCUGCAAGCAUCAGUCAACUUCCUCAGCUGCGAUAUCUCUAUUUGGAUGACUGCAAGAAUCUUAAGGCUUUGCGAAAGCUUCCAGCAACCAUACAUGAAAUAUCUGCAAAUAAUUGCAUCUCACUAGAAACAUUAUCAAGUCAAGAUGCAAUUGCAGGAUGUCUCAUUUUUAGGAUGUAGAUUUGAUGUUAUUGUUCCUGGAAUUGAAGUUCCAAAUUGGUUCAUCCAACAACAUAUGGGCCCAUCAGUUGUCAUACCGUUACCUCCAAAUUGGUACAAUGAAAAGUUCAAGGGACUGGCUGUCUGUCCUGUAUUUGCAAUCCGUGAGAAUCCAGAUUUGCUUACUGAUGGUCCAGCUUCAGAUAUAGCGAUCUAUUGCACGUUGGAAGCUAUUGACUGUACUCGGACUUCUAUCUUUAAAUUUCUCAUCUAUAGAAUCCCAUCUAUUCAGUCAGAUCACCUUUGGAUGGGCUUUCAUUCCCGAAUAGGAUUUGGUAAAUCAAAUCAGUUGAACAAGUGUCGCUAUCUUAGAGCUUCAUUUGAAUCACCUUUCCCAGGCUUGGAAGUGAAAAAAUGCGGAAUCCGUUUAGUUUAUGAUCAAGAUGAGAAUGAGUACAAUCCCGUGGCUGGGGAAUCCAGCCAUCCUUGUGACAAUUUAGGUCUUGUCAAUCAAGUUCUUCAUGAGCCCAUGGUGGUAGAUGAACGUAGCAAGGUGAAGAGAAGCCAUCAUGAAUAUAAUAUGGCUGGACCCAGUAAAAGUGGAAGUUUUGAUUUGGAAGAGGAGCCAUUCCCUAAACGUCUAAAAAAUUUCUAGACAAAAUCAGAAAUUUUGGAUCUUCUGAUGAUGAAACAGAUGAGGGAAUCACUUAACCAGUAAAUGUGAUACUGUUGAUAUUUCAUGGUAGGAGUAGAAUUUCUUUCUACAUAUAUCAUGGUGGAGAAAUAUGCUUGUCUAGUGGGAUAUCUUUGCGGUCUUUUCACAUUUGUUCUUUGCCUGAGAAGCAGCUUUUGAUAUGGAACGGCACUACAAUGCGCUUUUACAAAUGAAUCGGAAUGCCAUUUUUUUUAAACACUUGCAGAAUCAUUUUUUUAUCUGAGUUGAAAGAAAUUUAAGAAUCUUUGAGAUGUAACUGUAGAUGUAAUUGGAAGUGGUUGCAGCAGUGGUAUAUUGAAUGGUCCUCCUGUAUUUGUUGUUCUUCGGCUCUUGCUAAGGAUUAUGUGAACAGGGGUGCAUCAAUAUUUAAGGUUGCAAACCUUGCAUUUGGCAUGGAAUUUGUGACAUUUGUCCAUGAGCUUCUCUAUUGAUUUACCAGAAUCUUUCAGGAUGUAACUUUGAAAAAAGCUUCGCGCAAGAAGCCAAUUGCAUCCGCUGCUUGUUUUUAGUCCUGGACUUGUGAUUG
rnacentral:misc_RNA from 1 species